AGUGAACGCUGGCGGUAGGCCUAACACAUGCAAGUCGAACGGCAGCACAGUAAGAGCUUGCUCUUACGGGUGGCGAGUGGCGGACGGGUGAGGAAUACAUCGAAAUCUACUUUUUCGUGGGGGAUAACGUAGGGAAACUUACGCUAAUACCGCAUACGACCUACGGGUGAAAGCAGGGGAUCUUCGGACCUUGCGCGAUUGAAUGAGCCGAUGUCGGAUUAGCUAGUUGGCGGGGUAAAGGCCCACCAAGGCGACGAUCCGUAGCUGGUCUGAGAGGAUGAUCAGCCACACUGGAACUGAGACACGGUCCAGACUCCUACGGGAGGCAGCAGUGGGGAAUAUUGGACAAUGGGCGAAAGCCUGAUCCAGCCAUACCGCGUGGGUGAAGAAGGCCUUCGGGUUGUAAAGCCCUCUUGUUGGGAAAGAAAGGCAGCAGGAUAAUACACCGAUGUUCUGACGGUACCCAAAGAAUAAGCACCGGCUAACUUCGUG
rnacentral:rRNA from 1 species